AAAGAUACUGGAAAACUUUGCGUACUCUGCUAUCAAGGGAAGUCAACCUAAUGAAUCUGAGAAUAUCACUCAUGAGAAGGCUACAGUUGACACUUCAUCAUCACAACCAACAACAUUGUUGUCAUGUGGCAUGCUGGACGUGGAUAAUGAUCUCUUAAGAUCUCAAUUGCAUGGCUCUCCGAACACAUUAUCUAAGCGUAAAAAAAAUCCGCCUGAUUCAUCAAUUGAUGAUGACGAGACGAGAUUGUCUGCCAACGCAACUACAAAGUCUAGCUACGUGAAGCCCUUGAAGAACAUCAAAAAGGAGAAGGAAGAUAAAGACUGAUUUCUCAUCCCUCUCAGUGGUGACAUUAUCAGAUCUUAAUUUGAUUGCACAAUUUUUUUUUUACUUGAUAGCCAUAUUACUGCUUAACGUAAAAGACCUAUCAUUGAAAUAAUGUUUCAGUAUUGAUGCUUUUGAAGUUCAUCUAUAAAUCUUUCAUCAUCUUUUAUAUAUAA